rnacentral:rRNA from 1 species
CUUGAUCGAUCCCUGGAGGAAGCACGGGCUAAGUUCGUGCCAGCAGCCGCGGUAAGACGAACCGUGCGAACGUUAUUCGGAAUCACUGGGCUUAAAGCGCGUGUAGGCGGAUUGGAGCGUCGGCGCCUGAAAUCCCCCGGCUCAACCGGGGAACGUGGCCCGAAACGACCAGUCUGGAGGGACGUAGGGGGGUCUGGAACUUCCGGUGGAGCGGUGAAAUGCGUUGAGAUCGGAAGGAACGCCCGUGGCGAAAGCGG